rnacentral:rRNA from 1 species
GACGAAGGGGGCUAGCGUUGCUCGGAAUUACUGGGCGUAAAGCGCACGUAGGCGGAUACUUAAGUCAGGGGUGAAAUCCCGGGGCUCAACCCCGGAACUGCCUUUGAUACUGGGUAUCUCGAGUCCGGAAGAGGUGAGUGGAAUUCCGAGUGUAGAGGUGAAAUUCGUAGAUAUUCGGAGGAACACCAGUGGCGAAGGCGGCUCACUGGUCCGGUACUGACGCUGAGGUGCGAAAGCGUGGGGAGCAAACAGG